rnacentral:misc_RNA from 1 species
AGCCAUAUACAUGGUUUUCUCCUCGUAUCCAAUUCGAGCCAAGUUAGCAAUCAAAACUGCCCAGACAAAGUAUCCUGGAGCAAAGUAAUCUGCAGCAACAAGUCCACUAACUGGCCUAACUCUAAUACCAGGAGGAUCCAUCCCAGUUUCAUUAUCUAAUGUCAUGUGGUUCACCCAGCAUAGUGGUCUUUUGUACACUUCUCCAAAAGUCCCGCCCCAAAGCCGCUUCCGAAACAAUCCUUCAGCACACUGAUGUCCUUCCCACAGUUCAAGUCCACACGUGACAAUUCCAGGAAUAAAUACCACCGGAUGCUUAGCCUUCAACCCUUCCUUCUGCAACUUGAUGCCCGGUGGAUCAGGUAACGGGCCUGUAAUCGCCUCCGUAACAUACUGCGGGAACGACGCCGGCAUAGCAUUGUAUAAAAACAACAAAAUCCACCACACACAACAUAUGCAUCCUACGAACCAACAGCAAUUAUCGAUACACGACCAUUUCUUCUUCUUUCCAGACUUCACAUUCUUCUUCCUACUCUUCUUAUCGUCUUCUUCCGCAUCAAGCUUUGGCUCCACAUCCGGUUGAAUUUCAUUUUCAGGUGCUUUUCUUCUUCGUAAUAACGACAUCUCUUUAUCUUUUAUUUUACUUCAAUUAACAUAACAUACGGAGAGAGCUUCCUAUAUUCUAUAAGAACAGAGACCACCGGAAGCCGCCGCCGGCAACGGCUGAAGUAUCG